rnacentral:rRNA from 1 species
CAUGCCGUAAACGAUGAUUACUCGCUGUUAGCGAUACACAGUUAGCGGCUAAGCGAAAGUGAUAAGUAAUCCACCUGGGGAAUACGAUCGCAAGAUUGAAACUCAAAGGAAUUGACGGGGGCCCGCACAAGCGGAGGAGCAUGUGGUUUAAUUCGAUGAUACGCGAGGAACCUUACCUGGGCUCGAACGUAGUGUGACUAUGGGUGAAAGCCUGUAUUUCUUCGGAACAGACUACGAGGUGC